AUGGAGGUUGAUCAACCUGUUGUUCAAGAUUGAAGAAAACAAGAGCCUUACAAACCUGCCCCACAAGCUGUUGAUCUUACUCUGUCACUCCUGACAAAUGUGGUGUUUUGAAAGAAAUCAAGCAGGCAGGAACUGGCAAUGUGCAGCUCAGUCUACUACACAGGCUGUUUGACGAAACAUGGAACUUGAUUCUACGGACAGAGGGGAGAAAUUAAAAUUAAACCUUGGCAAAGGCAGGGUAAUAAUGCCGUGGAACCUUACUGGUGCGUAGCUAUACUAUUGAAGUGUGUGGGGAGGUGAUGGCAGUCUUGUAUAAAUUGUAAAUCUAAUAAUCAGUCUGCAGUGAGAAUGGAAAUCCACCAAAAAUUCCUCUUAAAUGCCACAACAUUGCUGGUGUUUGAGUUAGAAGAUCUCACCAAAGCAAGUGGUGGAGAGAAUUUUAAAUCAAACCUUGAAAGUUGGCAGUGGUUAUUCAAGUCCUAAUGAAGAAUGCACUUUGUUGAAGUUUCACUGGUCGGUCGACACGGGGACAGACACAGUAUAUUUGAUCAACGGUAUUUAAGCUUCAAUCUUCGAGAGGUUUAGAGCACAACAUUCCCGACGGUGUUGAACAUGCUCUGUUGAAAUUCAAGAAGCAAGAGAGGAGCUUGAUUAAAUUGACACCAGCUCUGCCAGUAACGAGCAACUCGGUGUUCCAGUACACAACGCCAACCUCGAAUGCAAGAUUGAACUCAAGAGCGUUGAGAAGGCCAAAGAGAGUUGGAGCAUGGACACCGAAGAGAAGCUGGACCAGGUUAAACUCUGCAAGGAAAAAGGAACCAAUCAUUUCAAAAGGCCUAAUACGCGGCCAACAAACAGUACUCAAAAAUCGUCCUCUCCUCGAGUUUGAAAAAACUCUUAGGAUGAGAAAGCUACAGAGCGGGAACAACUUAUGCUAGCAACAUACUCAAUCAGUCCAUUUGCUGUUUAAAGUGAAGCGAUUUCUGUGCAACUCGUGAUCAUUGCCAAAAGGCGCUCGAAAUGGACCCGAAAAAUGAAAAAGGUUUAUUCCUCAUUGGCCAAGCACUUGUGGGCAUCUAUACGAGCCGGAGGAAGCCAAGAAACAUUUCGAGGCGGUUCUCCAAUUUGAUUCGAACAUCAAGGCGGCCACCAAUCAAAUGGUGAUCUUCAAACGCAAGAUUUUCGAGCAACGCGAAACGGACAAGAAAUUGUACUCUAGCAUUUUCAACAAUCGUAAUUAUAUGAACGACAGGUAAACAAAAAGAUUGAAGGAAAAUGGCUUUACGGUUGGUGGGACGAGUCGACGAAAGGGGUCUAGCUAUACGCUGAUCUGAGUCAAAUCGAACGAGAUAAACAAUAAGCUGUGGAACAUUUAAAGGUCGAUCGUAGGAAAAUUAAUGCAGAUUUUUUCAAGUGCUACUGGCAGGAAAGAGGAAACCCAAUAUCGUAUCAGUCGACGGGAAGCCGCUGAAUGUGAAUGAAAAUGAGGGCUUUAGAAAAUAGUUAAAUAGCCUCGACAGAAGCAUCAAAUGGCAAUCAGAUGAUCUUCGUUAAAGGUUUUCGCGAUGCUUUUGCACUAUUUAAAUUUUUUAAAUUUAAUUUUGUAUCUCAUCUUUUCAAAUAAAAAUUCUGGAUUUGGCGGGUAAAUUUAAUAAUUGAAAAUGGAGAUUCUAUCGCAGUUAACGAACCGAAACCUACCCACUAAUGAAAAACUUUUUAGGAAAUGCUGCCUCGGUUGAAGCUGUCUCAACCACCGUCCUAUAUUUGACUUCUGAUAUGUAAAUUAAUAUCACGCUAUAAUGUCAUAAUGAAGGCAUGGCGAUGGAAGCCAAUUUCGUGUAUUAUUCAGCUUAAAAUAACAAAACAAAACAAAAUUAAUUUAACUCAAUCCUCAGUAUAAGUGUAAAUUUUUUCCCUCUUGCGAGAUGGUUUUCUAUGGCCUUUCAAAGUGGUGUUUAAGCUUUAAGUCUACCAAUCCGAUCACUUACUAAGUUUUAACUCCUCGGUCAGUGUCAUCUGUAAACGAUCCUUCACUUUAACUUUAGUUUUGAUUUUUUUAAAUUCUAUAUUCACAGCUUACAUCACCAGCAGUCAUGCUUUCUAAGAAGUGAUUGAUAGAAGCUAGAUGACUAGAGAUGGUAUUUGACAACACUGUUACACAGAUAAGUUAAUGGAAAUAUAGGCGUCGGAUAAUAUCCUUCGCAAUCUUAUCAUUAAGUUUCGUCGUUGAAUGCCCUUUUUUUUAUAUAAUAGAAAAAGGAACAGCAAUGCCCAUCGUUUUUUAUUCACAAUCUUCAUUCAACAAAUCAAUCAUAAUAUGACACAAGGCUAUUCAACGUUAUUGUGACCUUACCCUUGCUUGAACUUUAUUUUCUCAGUAUCGCUUGACCUCUAUUUUGUACAUC